rnacentral:pre_miRNA from 1 species
GGUCUGGCUGUUGUGGUGUGCAAAAUCUUGUACGUUCCCUUUUGCCACACUGCAACACUUUACAGA